rnacentral:rRNA from 1 species
GGGGAAUAUUGGUCAAUGGGCGCAAGCCUGAACCAGCCACGCCGCGUGAGUGAUGAAGGCCUUCGGGUUGUAAAGCUCUGUGGGGAGGGAAGAAAACGGCCAGUAAGAAACGACUGGUCCUUGACGGUACCUCCCUAGCAAGCACCGGCUAACUCGGUGCCAGCGGCCGCGGUAAUACAGAGGGUGCGAACGUUGCUCGGAAUUACUGGGCGUAAAGCGCGUGUAGGCGGGACCGCAAGUCAGAUGUGAAAUCCCCGAGCUCAACUCGGGAACUGCAUCUGAAACUGCGGACCUUGAGUACUGGAGAGGGCGGCGGAAUUCCUGGUGUAGAGGUGAAAUUCGUAGAUAUCAGGAGGAACACCGGUGGCGAAGGCGGCCGCCUGGACAGUCACUGACGCUGAGACGCGAAAGCGUGGGGAGCAAA